GGCCUUGUAGCUCAUUUGGCAAAAUCGUUAGCUGUACUAACGUUUUCCCCUUUCUGGCGUGGGUUCAAAUUCCACCAAGGCCA
rnacentral:tRNA from 1 species